CCCACUUUGUGGGGGUAAGGCCCCCAGCUAGACGACUGGGUUGAUAGGCCGGAGAUGUAAGCUCGGUAACGGGUUGAGUUGACCGGUACUAAUAGGCCGAGGACUUGACUA
rnacentral:rRNA from 1 species